ensembl:lncRNA LINC01695 long intergenic non-protein coding RNA 1695
UGGACACAGAUGGCUGCUUUCGAAGAAGAAAGAAGUGGAAAGUGAUGGAGUUUCUAUGCUCCAGCUCUCUUUGCCUGCUGCCAUCCACGUAAGAUGUGACUUGCUCCUCUUUGCCUUCUGCCAUAAUUGUGAGCCCCCCUCAGCCAUGUGGAAUGAUGGAAAACAGAACAAGCCAUGGAGGCCCCAGGGAUCAGGCAGGGCCAAGAGGAUCUGAUGGCGGAAGGGGGAGCACAUCAACAAGACCUUACAAGGCAACUUGCAUGGAUGCUCUGAAGCAACUUUGAGGUCUCCUUGAUGAGGAAAGUUGGCUCAACCUGCUGUAGAGGCCCACAGCCAAGCCAUUGAGAGACAAGUCCAUGGGAGACAAAUUAGCUCAUGCAGCUGAGAUGUCCUGGAGAUUUUCCACAGCACCACUUGGCCAGUGCCUAGACAAGAAAAUGUAUUUUAAUGUAAAACAUACCAGGCUAUUCUUUGGUAUGACACCUGACGGGAAGCUUGGAUCAGGUUGAGUAUGGCAGAAAGUCUCAUGCAUCAUUCCUGUGCCUAAGUGACAAUCUCAGUUGAGACCUUCAGGUUUUCCCACCUUAUCUAUCUCAACGACUGGGUUCCUUUCCACUUUGCCAUUCCUCAUCCCUCCACUGACUGCCAUAUUGAUUUUUCAAAAUGUAAAUAUAAUUAUGUCACUCAUCUUCCAAAAGUUCUUAAGUAAUUGCUUAUAACCCACAAUAUGAUAGAAAAACUGAGAGUGGUGUAGAGGAUCCUUUAGGCCUUGGGCCUGCCUACCUGCUCAGCAUUAUCUGCUCUACCCUCAUUAACCCCCUCUGCACUGGCUAUACUGAGAAAUUUGGUAUCCCCCAAAGUUAUCAUGACAUGCUGCCCUUUUGGCUGGCCAGCUCUUGCUACCUGCUGCAAGAGAACAGCUACUCUCCCUUCAAGUCCAAAUGUUAUCUAUCCUGUUGAAUGAGAAAUAUCAUUAAACACAUCUUUUUCCCUUCUGUGG